AGUGAACGCUGGCGGUAGGCCUAACACAUGCAAGUCGAACGGCAGCACAGGAGAGCUUGCUCUCUGGGUGGCGAGUGGUGGACGGGUGAGGAAUACAUCGGAAUCUACCUUUUCGUGGGGGAUAACGUAGGGAAACUUACGCUAAUACCGCAUAAGACCUUCGGUGAAAGCCGGGGACCGUUCGGGCCGUGGCGCGGAGU
rnacentral:rRNA from 1 species